rnacentral:lncRNA from 1 species
UCUUCUUUUUUUGAAAUUUAAAGAAAAAAUUUAUUGAAGAUCUGAAAAAAACUCCUACAAGAUUGACUUUUCCAUAAAACUGUAGCUACAUGAUGCAUUGCGUCUAUCAUGUUAAAACGUGCAUUAGACACAAAUACAAAAACCAUGAAAACAAGCCACCAUUCUUUAACAAUUGAGCAAAGAUAAAAUGCCUAAGGAACAACAUGGAUGACUUGCAAAGGAUGGGCUCUUUAAGCACCAUUUUAAAAAAAAAAGAGCACAGAUGGAUGAGUGUUCAGUUAUACACACUGAAGGGAACCUUUGGCACUAGGAGUCAGAGCAUUUUGUCAUAGAGCAUUAACACAUAUUAUAAAAGUGCGUAGUGUCAAAGGAACAGAACCACCAGCAUUCAAAAGCAGCUUUGUCAACUAGGCAAACACUCUACAGCAUGUCUCUCCGUUGUCCAUCACUGAUACACUGGUAGAAACUUUGAAAUGAAAAAAAGAAAGAAAAAAGGAGCAGUUAACUCCUUUUAUUUUCUCUGUUUAAAAUCAAACAGGAAACAAACAUCAACUCUGUUAUACACUAACGGUCUUCAAAGUACAUCAUUUGUACAAGAGAAGGACUAAGAACCAAACUGUUUACAGAGAUCCAAGCACGAGUGAGAGAGCACACUCCUCACACGGCUUUCCGAUGGUACUCAGGAGGAGCCACUUCAUAAUCACUGGCACUGAACAGAGUUGCAGAAUUCUUUGCCAGGUACUUGAGGAAAUCAUGUAGAUAGUUCAGUAAUAAAGCAAGGCUUUUCUCAUCUAGAGGUGUAUAGGCCAACAUCGCUCCAAUUCGCAACCUGGGACAUGGGUGCAUCCGGGUGAUCGGCCAGAAUUUCAGCAUACUGUGGUCUCUCAAAUUUGUAGAGUAGCUGAGUGCCCAACAUUACAUUGAAGUACUCCUUUAUCCCCGCCACAACCUCAUUAACAGCAUACUCCUUAUUAUCUGUAUUUCCUCGAGACUUCUUAUAGUUUGCAUAAUCCUCCAAAAUGGAAUCCACAUUCUUCUUGGCAGGAAGAUAAAAAAAGCUGCUUUUGUCUGGUGAUCAAGUCCCAGUCAUCUACAAGCCAUGGUUUCAGCUCCUCAGGAAUCUUCACUUUAACUUCAACUCUGUUCAUGAAUGUUUCUUCAUUUUCAACGGUUGGAUCUACCCGGGCUCGCUUCUUCCUAGGAGGCUGAGGGGUCUCACUGGUACUGCCACCAUCUCCGUUUCCAGGUGUUUUCUGUUUGUUCGUUUUUGUUUUCACUUCAACAUUUUUCUGUUGCAGACCGGAUGUCUUCUUCCCUGGAGCAGCCCCUCUCAUCUUGCCCUCUGCAUAUUGUUCCUGGUUGGCCUUUUGAAGUUCCCGCUGUUUCUGCAAAUUGGCGUCCACCCACUGUAAUGGAUAAAAUACUUCACUUGUUUGUCCUUUAUGGCAACCUUUACACACUUUGCUUCAUAAAGAAGAGGCCCAUGAAAGCACAGCACUCGCUCGCCCUCCUGGAAUUUAGGCUUCGGAUCCUGCUUGGGCGCCAUUUAUAAGUGAUUCGCCGCCUCCUCCUUCUCCCACCACCCCCGACU